GCUCCAGUAGCGUAUAUUAAAAUUGUUGCAGUUAAAAAGCUCGUAGUUGGACUUUGGAAGGGCGCCUUGGGUCCGCUCCGGUAAGGAGUGUGCACCAACGGUGGGCGGCGUCGGGCAACCGGCGUCGUCGUUAGCCGUCCUUUAGGCCGAGGCUCUCCAGGUUCCGUUGCUGGCCGCAAGGUUAGCCGGGCUGGGUCAAA
rnacentral:rRNA from 1 species